rnacentral:misc_RNA from 1 species
CAGAGUUCAUGCCCUUCUGGGUAGAUCUCCCACCCUAUGUUAUUAUUACUUUGUUGCUUUGGCGGGCCGUUAGGCUUCGGCCCAGCUACUGGCUUCGGCUAGUAAGUGCCCGCCAGAGGACCCCAAACUCUGAAUUUAGUGUCGUCUGAGUACUAUAUAAUAGUUA